CGGUAACAGCUCAAAUUUGAAAUCUGACCUUCACGGGUCCGAGUUGUAAUUUGUAGAGGAUGUUUCGGAUAGGCUUUGGUUUAAGUUUCUUGGAACAGAAUGUCAGAGAGGGUGAGAAUCCCGUCUUGGACCGGCGUAGGGCCCGUGUAAAACUCCUUCGAC
rnacentral:rRNA from 1 species